rnacentral:ncRNA from 2 species
CGCUUAUAGAGAAAGGCCGAGGGACUAGACCCGAAGAAGCCUUAGCAACCUGUCACUUGACAAGGUGCUAAAUUCUACCCCGCCUGGACACAGGAGGGAAAGAUAAGCC